rnacentral:rRNA from 1 species
GUCUUCUCGGUUUUAUGUGAGGUUGGGCCUGCCCAGUGAGUUAUUUUAACGGCCGCGGUAUUUUGACCGUGCAAAGGUAGCAUAAUCAUUAGCCUCUUAAUAGGGGGCUGGAAUGAAGGGUUUGACGAAAUAAUAACUGUCUCAUUAAUAAAUUUUUGAAUUUACCUUUUGAGUUAAAAGGCUCAAAUUUUAUUGGAAGACGAGAAGACCCUAUAGAGCUUUAUAAUUAAUUAAUUAGUUUUUAUUGUUUAUUAUUUAUAUAUUUGAUUAAUUAUUUUGUUGGGGUGACAAUAAAUAUAUUUUUAACUUUUAUAAGUUUUUACCAUUAAUAUAUGAAUAUUAGAUCCAUUAUUAUUGAUUAUUAGAAUAAGUUACCUUAGGGAUAACAGCGUAAUCCUCUUUGGGAGUUCAAAUUUACAGGAGGGCUUGCGACCUCGAUGUUGGAUUAAGAUAAUAAUAGGGCGCAGUAGCUUUAUUAAUAGGUCUGUUCGACCUUUAAAUUCUUACAUGAUCUGAGUUCAGACCGG